rnacentral:rRNA from 1 species
UACAGAGGGUGCAAGCGUUGUUCGGAAUUAUUGGGCGUAAAGGGUGCGUAGGCGGUUUGGCAAGUCUGGUGUGAAAUCUAUGGGCUCAACCCAUAGUCUGCAUCAGAAACUGCCGGGCUUGAGUAUGGGAGAGGUGAGUGGAAUUUCCGGUGUAGCGGUGAAAUGCGUAGAUAUCGGAAGGAACACCUGUGGCGAAAGCGGCUCACUGGACCAUAACUGACGCUGAUGCACGAAAGCUAG